AGUUCCGUUUCCCCCUGGGUGGGGCAGCAGGCCCUGUGAAGAGGUUCUCAGCCUCAUGACUCCUAAACUCCUGGUACUUGAGCACCGAUCUGCUUUGGAGAACCUGAUUCUGAGACUCCAGCAGGAUGUCUUAUCAACAGUAGCAAUGUAAGCAGCCCUGCCAGCCACCUCCUGUGUGCCGCCUGCCAAAGCGUCCAGAGCCAUGUCCACCCCUGAAGUGCCCUGAGCCCUGCCCACCACCAAAGUGUCCACAGCCCUGCCCACCUCAGCAGUGCCAGCAGAAAUAUCCUCUGGUGACACCUUCCCCACCCUGCCAGCCAAAGUGUCCACCCAAGAGCAAGUAACAGCUUCGGAAUUCAUCAGGACCACGAAAGGAUAGGGAUAAUUGGCUCACCUCGUUCCACAGCUCCACCUGCAUCUUCUCAUCAAAGCCAUCCAGGGAUACACAGGGAGCUUCUUUCCCCUUAGCCUGUGAUCUGCCCAUGAUGAUCCCCGACAGCAAAAUGUUUCCUUUCUGAGGCUGCCAUGCUGCCACUGUCCAGGUGGAGACUGAGCAAAGGAAGUCCUCAGCUGUACCGGCCUUUCAGAGCUUCUCUUUGGGUGCCAUCAAAGAAUUAUUUUGAUGUCUUCUGUCUCUGUCUGUCACCUGGCAUGAGCUUCUACUAUCUGUGCAAUUGUCACUUUUCUUUCACUCCCUGAAUAAAGUAGCUAUGCCUAUA